rnacentral:lncRNA from 1 species
GAAUAUUACACCAUUUCACACAGCUUGAGCACCUAUAGAGCUUGGCGUUGGAGGACAUCCUGAAAAUAAUCCUCCAUAGAUAUUGAGGGCCAACCGUAUGUGAAUUUUUUGCAGGCAAAAUCAAUCAACCAACCAACCAAUCAAUGAAUCAAUCUCCACAAAGUAUACUUUACAUGACCAUGAAGUUUUCCAGGAGAUUCAGUACCCUCCUUUUACCCAGUUUGAUCCAGAUAUUCAUCUAAGAGCAACAGGAGAAAAGUAACCAAGACAGAAUUUGGCACCAGAGGAGUGAUGUUUUCUGCUGCCAGGAGCUGUUGCCCUCUGCCAUGUGCCACUCUACCUUGGAGCCAGCCGUGUAUGGACUGAAACCUCCACAAAGUGUGAGCUAAAUAAACCUCUCCUUCCUUAAUUCUGGGCAUUAGGUAUUUUAUCCCAGCAAUGAGAGAAAAGUAACCAAGACAGUCACCUACCAGGACAUGUUUUGAUAAUAGCUAAGCACUGGUAUAAAUCUUUAGGGACUUGGAUUCUCUCAAGUGUGACAGAACACUCAUCACAGCUGCCAGCACUCCAAUUUAAAAAGAUCACAAUUGGCAAAUG